rnacentral:ncRNA from 1 species
ACCUCGAUGUCGGCUCAUCACAUCCUGGGGCUGGAGCUGGUCCCAAGGGUAUGGCUGUUCGCCAUUUAAAGUGGUACGCGAGCUGGGUUCAGAACGUCGUGAGACAGUUC